AAAUUAACACUGCAGUUGCUUCAUCAAAUAUGUUUUACUUGUAGAAACUGUUUUGCUUGGUCUGUUUUCUUAGCUUGGCUAUGCAAUGUUUCAUCUGCAGCAUCGGCGGCACGCAUCGAGCUCAAGUUUUGUGCUUGCGGCGCAACAUGCACCAUUGAAGAGGAGUGGCCUAUUGGACGAAAUGCGCCUGCUGGCAAACGUCAGCCCCUCUGCCUCCGCUUCAGGUGCAAUGCCUAUCGUUAUUUGGUUCCCUGGAUGCGUAGAGCAUGCCUGCACUGCAGUGAAGCCGGCGACAUCGCCUCCUCGUCAGAUCAAUGGACCGACGAAGCAGGGUAUGCAGCAUACACAGCGUACAAGACCAGAUAUGGGAGGCUGCAGAGACAAAAGCAAACAUCAUCGAGAAUGUAGUUUGAAUAGAAUAUCUGCUGCCCCAGCAGUUGAUGCACUUCCACGCCAGGAACAGAGAGGAUUGUACGAGUCCAGCCUUCAGCCUUUCUCACCAACUGCCUGCACAAGAACAAACCAGGACUUGCUCUGUUUUUAUUCUGUCUGUGUUUUGCUCUGCUUUCUUUCAUUGGACCUGCCUGCAGGUGUAAUGUCCAUCUCUGCUGUUUAUUGGCUACAUCAGUGCCUAGAUCGAUUCGCUGUAUGCACAGAAAAACUAAAAGAAUUCCUUUUGUUUGCCUUCUACUGCUGUACGCGUGGCUUCCUUUUUCUUUGUAUUGUGUAUGCUGCACUGGAAAUAUUCA